ACUACGGGCGGCAGCAGUGAGGAAUAUUGGUCAAUGGACGAGAGUCUGAACCAGCCAAGUAGCGUGAAGGAUGACUGCCCUAUGGGUUGUAAACUUCUUUUAUAAAGGAAUAAAACGAGGCACGUGUGCCUUUUUGCAUGUACGUUAUGAAUAAGGAUCGGCUAACUCCGUGCCAGCAGCCGCGGUAAUACGGAGGAUCCGAGCGUUAUCCGGAUUGAUUGGGUUGAAAGGGAGCGUAGAUGGGUUGUUAAGUCAGUUGUGAAAGUUUGCGGCUCAACCGUAAAAUUGCAAUUGAUACUGGCAGUCUUCAGUACAGUUGAGGUAGGCGGAAUUCGUGGUGUAGCGGUUAAAUGCUUAUAUCUCACGA
rnacentral:rRNA from 1 species